rnacentral:rRNA from 1 species
GACGAACGCUGGCGGCGUGCUUAACACAUGCAAGUCGAACGGCAAGGCCCUGCUUUGGUGGUGGUCUCGAGUGGCGAACGGGUGAGUAACACGUGAGUAACCUGCCCUUGACUGUGGGAUAACUUCAGGAAACUGGGUCUAAUACCGGAUAGGAGCUCCUGCUGCAUGGUGGGGGUUGGAAAGUUUCGGCGGUUGGGGAUGGACGCGCGGCUUAUCAGCUUGUUGGUGGGGUAGUGGCUUACCAAGGCUUUGACGGGUAGCCGGCCUGAGAGGGUGACCGGCCCCAUUGGGACUGCGAUACGGCCCAGAGUGCUACGGGAGGCAGCAGUGGGGAGUAUUGCACAAUGGGCGGAAGCCUGAUGCAGCAACGCCGCGUGCGGGAUGACGGCCUUCGGGUUGUAAACCGCUUUCGCCUGUGACGAAGCGUGAGUGACGGUACUGGGUAAAGAAGCACCGGCUAACUACGUG